rnacentral:piRNA from 1 species
CCCAUGCUCAUAUCAUGUGACCUACACCCAC